rnacentral:rRNA from 1 species
UGCAAGUCGAACGGUAACAGGUCAAGCUGAACGAGUGGCGAACGGGUGAGUAAUAUAUCGGAAACGUGCCCAGUAGUGGGGGAAUAGCCCGGCGAAAGCCGGAUUAAUACCGCAUACGACCUACGGGUGAAAGCGGGGGAUCGCAAGACCUCGCGCUAUUGGAGCGGCCGAAUAUCAGAAUUAGGUAGUUGGUGGGGUAAAAGCCUACCAAGCCGAACGAUCUGUAGCUGGUCUGAGAGGACGAACCAGCCACACUGGGACUGAGACACGGCCCAGACUCCUACGGGAGGCAGCAGUGGGGAAUUUUGGACAAUGGGCGAAAGCCUGAUCCAGCCAUGCCGCGUGCGGGAAGAAGGCCUUCGGGUGUAAACCGCUUUUGUCAGGGAAGAAAUCCUUUGAGCUAAUACCUCGGGGGGAUGACGGUACCUGAAGAAUAAGCACCGGCUAACUACGUGCCAGCAGCCGCGGUAAUACGUAGGGUGCAAGCGUUAAUCGGAAUUACUGGGCGUAAAGCGUGC